rnacentral:misc_RNA from 1 species
AAGUCGUAACAAGGUUUCCGUAGGUGAACCUGCGGAAGGAUCAUUAGCAUAGUAGGAGUUUGGGGGUGCGGCAACUGUUGCGCCCUCUCGACUACCACCACCAUGUGAACGAGGAUGAAAUAGUGCGUUGCAUGCGGACACGCGUGCAUGCACAUGUGGGUGCUCUGCGCGAGGCACGGACGGACCUUGGCGUUUGUCCGUGCGUGCGGCCGUGUCCUCUGCAGAGCAACCGCAUUCUAUAACAUACGUAAUGACGAUGCAUCCAUGUGAUGUAUUAUUGUACAUGACACACACACACACAUUAUUUAUCACAACUUUAUACAACUUUUAACAAUGGAUCUCUUGGCUCCU